rnacentral:rRNA from 1 species
GAUCAUGGCUCAGGACGAACGCUGGCGGCGUGCCUAAUACAUGCAAGUAGAACGCUGAAGAGAGGAGCUUGCUCUUCUUGGAUGAGUUGCGAACGGGUGAGUAACGCGUAGGUAACCUGCCUUGUAGCGGGGGGAUAACUAUUGGAAACGAUAGCUAAUACCGCAUAACAAUGGAUGACACAUGUCAUUUAUUUUGUAAAGGGGUCGAAUUGCUCCACUACAAGAUGGACCUGCGUUG